rnacentral:miRNA from 1 species
UGAAAAAUGCCUCUGGACGUG